rnacentral:rRNA from 1 species
GAUGAACGCUGGCGGCGUGCCUAAUACAUGCAAGUCGAGCGAACAGAUGAGGAGCUUGCUCCUCUGACGUUAGCGGCGGACGGGUGAGUAACACGUGGAUAACCUACCUAUAAGACUGGGAUAACUUCGGGAAACCGGAGCUAAUACCGGAUAAUAUAUUGAACCGCAUGGUUCAAUAGUGAAAGACGGUUUUGCUGUCACUUAUAGAUGGAUCCGCGCCGCAUUAGCUAGUUGGUAAGGUAACGGCUUACCAAGGCAACGAUGCUUAGCCGACCUGAGAGGGUGAUCGGCCACACUGGAACUGAGACACGGUCCAGACUCCUACGGGAGGCAGCAGUAGGGAAUCUUCCGCAAUGGGCGAAAGCCUGACGGAGCAACGCCGCGUGAGUGAUGAAGGUCUUCGGAUCGUAAAACUCUGUUAUUAGGGAAGAACAAAUGUGUAAGUAACUAUGCACGUCUUGACGGUACCUAAUCAGAAAGCCACGGCUAACUACGUG